rnacentral:rRNA from 1 species
UCGCCCGUCACACCAUGGGAGUGGGUUUCACCAGAAGUAGUUAGCCUAACCGCAAGGAGGGCGACUACCACGGUGAGAUUCAUGACUGGGGUG